GGCCAUAGCUCAGUGGUAGAGCGUCUGCUUCACAUGCAGAAGGUCCUAGGUUCAAUCCCUGGCAUCACCA